rnacentral:rRNA from 1 species
UACAUAGGCAGCGAGCGUUGUUCGGAGUUACUGGGCGUAAAGGGUGUGUAGGCGGUUGUUUAAGUUUGGUGUGAAAUCUCCCGGCUCAACUGGGAGGGUGCGCCGAAUACUGAAUGACUAGAGUGCGGGAGAGGUGAGUGGAAUUCCUGGUGUAGCGGUGGAAUGCGCAGAUAUCAGGAGGAACACCGAUGGCGAAGGCAGCUCGCUGGGACGGUACUGACGCUGAGGCGCGAAAGCGUGGGGAGCGAACAGG